GAUGAACGUUGGCGGCGUGCCUAAUACAUGCAAGUCGAACGGAGAAUUUGAUGUAGCAAUACAUUGAAUUUCUUAGUGGCGAACGGGUGAGUAACGCGUUGGUGACCUACCCCAAAGAGCGGGAUAACGGUUUGAAAAGACCGCUAAUACCUCAUGUGAUCAUAUGGAUUAGAAGCCUAAUGAUUAAAGGAGCUUGCUCCGCUUUGGGAGGGGCCAGCGUACCAUCAGCUGGUUGGUAGGGUAAUGGCUUACCAAGGCUAUGACGGUUAGGGGACCUGAGAGGGUGGCCCCCCACAAUGGAACUGAAACACGGUCCAUACACCUACGGGUGGCAGCAGUAGGGAAUAUUGGUAAUGCGCGAAAGCGUGAACCAGCAACGCCGCGUGUGCGAUGAAGGCCUUCGGGUUGUAAAGCACUUUUCGGGAGGAAGAGGAAGGACUGUACUCCCAGAAUAAGCCUCGGCUAACUACGUGCCAGCAGCCGCGGUAAAACCCGUCGUCCUACUACGUAGACGUAGCCAACGGACGA
rnacentral:rRNA from 1 species